rnacentral:piRNA from 1 species
AGCUGGCUCAGAGGGAGGUAGGUAUUGA